UUAGAAUUUGUUUAAUUUCAUUAGACAUUUGUAAACAAACGGUCGGCCAUUUUUUUGUUAAUCACGUGUUACAAAUACAAUUGUAACAAACACACGCCAAUACUUUGUCGUACUUAACCAGGAAAUACUGACUCCGACAGUUCUUAUUUAAAAUAAAUAUACAUGUAAAAAGUAUACUAUUCGGUAAAAAAUGAUAAUUUUGAUUAAACAUUAUUCAUUUUAAACUAUCCCAAGAUGCACUUUUCCAAGAUUUAGCGGAUUCUGAUUGGUCAGUAUUGGCGCACUUUAUGAUUCCGAGCGAAGGUUAAAAUGGACAUGAAGGUGCUGUUGUAAAAUGGAGAAUUGAGAAGCAUUAAUAGCCUCUACAACAAGGAGAUAAUGCAGGAACGAAGAACUCAUGUCAAGCAUUGACAGCAUACAAAGUCAAUGUUUCCGGUGAUUAGUUGCAUCCUCUGUUCGGUGAUUCGGGUGAUUGUUUUGACCAGCUGGACGAUGUGAACCCAAGAUAAAAAGAACAGACAUAAAGUACAGCCCAGUGAAAGGAACAAGUUCAUCGCAAGAAGAAGAAUUUUAAUGCUACCACUGUCCAGAACUACUAAGUCUGCUGUAACCAUGAUGUGAUCAUAUGAGUGCUUCACCGGUCUGGACAAUGCUCGAAAAUCCCCCCAAAAGGCCUAUUUCCAUAAACUACGACUCAGGUUACAUCAACAACAGCCAAGGACACCCCUUAUUGAUUCCAAUGGACACAUCUCUAC